AUGAUUAGCCUAGUGAGCCACGGCAUCAGCCCUUAUCUUUUUUUUAAAAAAGAUUUAUUUAUUUACUUGAAAGUCGGAGUUACACAGAGAGAGAUGGAGAGGCAGAGAGAGAGAGAGAGAGGUCUUCCAUCCGUUGGUUCACUCCCGAAUUGGCCGCACGGCUGGAACAUCGCCAGUCCGAAGCCAGGAGCCAGGAACUUCCAGGUCUCCCACGUGUGUGCAGGGGCCCAAGGGCUUGAGCCAUCUUCUACUGUUUUCCCAGGCCAUGGCAGAGAGCGGGAUUGGAAAUGGAGCAGCCGGGACUCAAACCAGUGCCCAUAUGGGAUACCGGCGCUGCAGGUGGUGGCUGUACCUGCUACGCCACAGCACCAGCCACAGGAGGAAUUUCUGAAUAGCUACCUCCUCCAGGAAGCACUCCUUGAUCUCCGUGCCAUCUCGGAUUCUACUCCUGGCUUUCCCCAACAGCACCAAAUGCCCAGCUGAGUAUCCCAGUUGGAGCCGUCACUCCCCAUGAGAUCAAGCAGUGCCUUAGGAAUUGAACAGAAACACAGAUGACAUUAAAUUAAUUACCUUCAAUCGAUACUAUUGCUUUCUGAAUGAGCAGCAGUAGGGACGAACGAUUAUUAAUGCAAAGCUGUGGAAGUCAAGGAACUGGGCCUUAGAAAAGGAGGGUAGACCAGAUGUGCCAACCAGGCUGCGCCCUUAGGGAGUGCUGAUAGGAGGUGGGGGCUGGCAAUGCUCUCUGCUGGAGCCAAGGGUUUUAAAGGAGGUUUGGGGCUCCUUGUUCUCCGGGCCAGCACUGCCCCUUCCCCGGGAACCUCCCAGAGUGCGCACUAGUCCACGUCUUUCCCCUGUGCGAAGGGUCACAGUGUUCAUGGUGUCCAACGGAAGCGGUCUCACCAGAUAAUGAUGGUAGGAAUAACGUCCCUGUGGCUAGCUGUGUCUUACGGCUGCAGUGGGUUGCAGCCAGGUAGCUGCUCAUGUACAGUCUGCUCUGCACUGUCUUACUGUUUAUGGAGACUUUCCUUCACCC
rnacentral:lncRNA from 1 species